rnacentral:misc_RNA from 3 species
AUACUCCGUAAACCAUUGUGAACGUUACCUUAACCGUUGCUUCGGCGGGCGGCGCCCGGCCCUCGUGGCCCGCGGCGCCCCCCGGCCCCCCUGCGGGCGCCCGCCGGAGGUAUACCUAACUCUUGAAUUACAUGGCCUCUCUGAGUCUUCUGUACUGAAUAAGUCAAAACUUUCAACAACGGAUCUCUUGGUUCUGGCAUCGAUGAAGAACGCAGCGAAAUGCGAUAAGUAAUGUGAAUUGCAGAAUUCAGUGAAUCAUCGAAUCUUUGAACGCACAUUGCGCCCGCCAGUAUUCUGGCGGGCAUGCCUGUUCGAGCGUCAUUUCAACCAUCAAGCCCCGGGCUUGUGUUGGGGACCUGCGGCUGCCGCAGACCCCGAAAACCAGUGGCGGGCUCGCUGUCACCCCGAGCGUAGUAGUUUAC